CCUACGGGGGGCAGCAGUGAGGAAUAUUGGUCAAUGGACGAGAGUCUGAACCAGCCAAGUAGCGUGAAGGAUGACUGCCCUAUGGGUUGUAAACUUCUUUUAUAUGGGAAUAAAAUGUUCCACGUGUGGGAUUUUGUAUGUACCCUAUGAAUAAGGAUCGGCUAACUCCGUGCCAGCAGCCGCGGUAAUACGGAGGAUCCGAGCGUUAUCCGGAUUUAUUGGGUUUAAAGGGAGCGUAGGUGGAUUGUUAAGUCAGUUGUGAAAGUUUGCGGCUCAACCGUAAAAUUGCAGUUGAAACUGGCAGUCUUGAGUACAGUAGAGGUGGGCGGAAUUCGUGGUGUAGCGGUGAAAUGCUUAGAUAUCACGAAGAACUCCGAUUGCGAAGGCAGUUCACUGGACUGCAACUGACACUGAGGCUCGAAAGUGUGGGUAUCAAACAGGAUUAGAUACCCUAGUAGUC
rnacentral:rRNA from 1 species